rnacentral:rRNA from 1 species
AUUGAACGCUGGCGGCAUGCCUUACACAUGCAAGUCGAACGGCAGCACGGGUGCUUGCACCUGGUGGCGAGUGGCGAACGGGUGAGUAAUACAUCGGAACAUGUCCUGUAGUGGGGGAUAGCCCGGCGAAAGCCGGAUUAAUACCGCAUACGAUCUACGGAUGAAAGCGGGGGACCUUCGGGCCUCGCGCUAUAGGGUUGGCCGUUAGCUGAUUAGCUAGUUGGUGGGGUAAAGGCCUACCAAGGCGACGAUCAGUAGCUGGUCUGAGAGGACGACCAGCCACACUGGGACUGAGACACGGCCCAGACUCCUACGGGAGGCAGCAGUGGGGAAUUUUGGACAAUGGGCGAAAGCCUGAUCCAGCAAUGCCGCGUGUGUGAAGAAGGCCUUCGGGUUGUAAAGCACUUUUGUCCGGAAAGAAAUCCUUGGCUCUAAUACAGUCGGGGGAUGACGGUACCGGAAGAAUAAGCACCGGCUAACUACGUG